UUGUUGGUGGGGUAAUGGCCUACCAAGGCGACGAUCAGUAGCGGGUCUGAGAGGAUGAUCCGCCACACUGGAACUGAGACACGGUCCAGACUCCUACGGGAGGCAGCAGUGGGGAAUUUUGGACAAUGGGGGCAACCCUGAUCCAGCCAUUCCGCGUGAGUGAAGAAGGCCUUCGGGUUGUAAAGCUCUUUCAGCCGGAACGAAACGGUAUGUCUUAAUACGAUGUGCUAAUGACGGUACCGGCAGAAGAAGCACCGGCUAACUACGUGCCAGCAGCCGCGGUAAUACGUAGGGUGCGAGCGUUAAUCGGAAUUACUGGGCGUAAAGCGUGCGCAGGCGGAUUGUUAAGCAAGAUGUGAAAUCCCCGGGCUUAACCUGGGAAUGGCAUUUUGAACUGGCAGUCUAGAGUGUGUCAGAGGGGGGUGGAAUUCCACGUGUAGCAGUGAAAUGCGUAGAUAUGUGGAGGAACACCAAUGGCGAAGGCAGCCCCCUGGGAUAACACUGACGCUCAUGUACGAAAGCGUGGGUAGCAAACAGGAUUAGAUACCCUGGUAGUCCACGCCCUAAACGAUGUCAACUGGUUGUUGGGGGAGUGAAAUCCCUUAGUAACGAAGCUAACGCGUGAAGUUGACCGCCUGGGGAGUACGGUCGCAAGAUUAAAACUCAAAGGAAUUGACGGGGACCCGCACAAGCGGUGGAUGAUGUGGAUUAAUUCGAUGCAACGCGAAAAACCUUACCUACCCUUGACAUGUCCAGAAUCCUGCAGAGAUGCGGGAGUGCCCGAAAGGGAAUUGGAACACAGGUGCUGCAUGGCUGUCGUCAGCUCGUGUCGUGAGAUGUUGGGUUAAGUCCCGCAACGAGCGCAACCCUUAUCAUUAGUUGCUACGCAAGGGCACUCUAAUGAGACUGCCGG
rnacentral:rRNA from 1 species